GUCUACGGCCAUACCACCCUGAACACACCCGAUCUCAUCUGAUCUCGGAAGCUAAGCAGGGUCGGGCCUGGUUAGUACUUGGAUGGGAGAACUCAGUGGCACCAUGAUGUCAUCGAAC
ensembl:rRNA 5S_rRNA 5S ribosomal RNA